rnacentral:rRNA from 1 species
GACGAACGCUGGCGGCGUGCCUAAUACAUGCAAGUCGAGCGAAUCAAUGGGAGCUUGCUCCCUGAGAUUAGCGGCGGACGGGUGAGUAACACGUGGGUAACCUGCCUGUAAGACUGGGAUAACUUCGGGAAACCGGAGCUAAUACCGGAUAGUUUCUUUUCUCGCAUGAGAGAAGAUGGAAAGAUGGUUUCGGCUAUCACUUACAGAUGGACCCGCGGCGCAUUAGCUAGUUGGUGAGGUAACGGCUCACCAAGGCGCCGAUGCGUAGCCGACCUGGGAGGGUGAUCGGCCACCCUGGGACUGAGACACGGCCCAGACGCCUACGGGGGGCAGCAGUAGGGAAUCUUCCGCAAUGGACGAAAGUCUGACGGAGCAACGCCGCGUGAGCGAAGAAGGCCUUCGGGUCGUAAAGCUCUGUUGUUAGGGAAGAACAAGUACGAGAGUAACUGCUCGUACCUUGACGGUACCUAACCAGAAAGCCACGGCUAACUACGUGCCAGCCGCCGCCGUAACAC